rnacentral:rRNA from 1 species
CCUACGGGUGGCAGCAGUGGGGAAUAUUGGACAAUGGGGGCAACCCUGAUCCAGCCAUGCCGCGUGUGUGAAGAAGGCCCUCGGGUUGUAAAGCACUUUCAGUGAGGAAGAACGCCUGGUGGUUAAUACCCAUCAGGAAAGACAUCACUCACAGAAGAAGCACCGGCUAACUCCGUGCCAGCAGCCGCGGUAAUACGGAGGGUGCGAGCGUUAAUCGGAAUUACUGGGCGUAAAGCGCGCGUAGGUGGCUUGAUAAGCCGGUUGUGAAAGCCCCGGGCUCAACCUGGGAACGGCAUCCGGAACUGUCAAGCUAGAGUGCAGGAGAGGAAGGUAGAAUUCCCGGUGUAGCGGUGAAAUGCGUAGAGCUCGGGAGGAAUACCAGUGGCGAAGGCGGCCUUCUGGACUGACACUGACACUGAGGUGCGAAAGCGUGGGUAGCAAACAGGAUUAGAUACCCCUGUAGUC